AUUAAGUCAAAUGUGAAAUCCCCGAGCUUAACUUGGGAAUUGCAUUCGAUACUGGUUGGCUAGAGUAUGGGAGAGGAUGGUAGAAUUCCAGGUGUAGCGGUGAAAUGCGUAGAGAUCUGGAGGAAUACCGAUGGCGAAGGCAGCCAUCUGGCCUAAUACUGACACUGAGGUGCGAAAGCAUGGGGAGCAAACAGGAUUAGAUACCCUGGUAGUCCAUGCCGUAAACGAUGUCUACUAGCCGUUGGGGCCUUUGAGGCUUUAGUGGCGCAGCUAACGCGAUAAGUAGACCGCCUGGGGAGUACGGUCGCAAGACUAAAACUCAAAUGAAUUGACGGGGGCCCGCACAAGCGGUGGAGCAUGUGGUUUAAUUCGAUGCAACGCGAAGAACCUUACCUGGUCUUGACAUAGUAAGAACUUUCCAGAGAUGGAUUGGUGCCUUCGGGAACUUACAUACAGGUGCUGCAUGGCUGUCGUCAGCUCGUGUCGUGAGAUGUUGGGUUAAGUCCCGCAACGAGCGCAACCCUUUUCCUUAUUUGCCAGCGGGUUAAGCCGGGAACUUUAAGGAUACUGCCAGUGACAAACUGGAGGAAGGCGGGGACGACGUCAAGUCAUCAUGGCCCUUACGACCAGGGCUACACACGUGCUACAAUGGUCGGUACAAAGGGUUGCUACCUCGCGAGAGGAUGCUAAUCUCAAAAAGCCGAUCGUAGUCCGGAUCGCAGUCUGCAACUCGACUGCGUGAAGUCGGAAUCGCUAGUAAUCGCGGAUCAGAAUGCCGCGGUGAAUACGUUCCCGGGCCUUGUACACACCGCCCGUCACACCAUGGGAGUUUGUUGCACCA
rnacentral:rRNA from 1 species